UAAAGGGAGUCGGGGAAAAAGGAAAAAGUUAGCCCUACCUUCAUUCAGCGCCAACUCCCCUCUCCCCAUGAGAUUUCCUUUGCUCGGUGCCAGCCUGCCUCAUAGACACCGCACUUGCGGAGGUCGACUCCCCGCAACCUUCUUCUCUUGGCAACCACUUCUGUUCGGCGCUAUGCCUUACUCUGACGCCCUUCUCCCUGUGACCCUGUGACCAACGGACGUGGUGUCGCAUCGCCAUGUCUAUCCGUUCACAUCCAGGCAGUGGCAUCAGGAGGGGGAAUUUCCAGAGGUCGAGACGCCAUUGACAGCCCAAGCCACUAAGAUCCACUGCCUCUAUCAGCCAUGGACAUCCACUACCAAAGAUGAAACCGAGGAUUUGAGCUCGAGAGAGAACACCAGACUUGAAGACUACUAGAACGUUCUACAUAUGAGGUAGGAAAUAAAGUCAUGUCGCUCGGAGAUCCUGGCUGUCGGCCCACGAUGUUCGAGAUGUCUUUAGUUUUAUUUUGUUGUCAACAUUUUAACUUUUUGGUAUUCAAAAUUUGCAUUUGGAAUUUAUUAUGAAAACAUUAUUUGUUUUACUUUUGUAAAUUCUC